UACGUAGGGUGCAAGCGUUAAUCGGAAUUACUGGGCGUAAAGCGUGCGCAGGCGGUUUUGUAAGUCUGUCGUGAAAUCCCCGGGCUCAACCUGGGAAUGGCAAUGGAUACUGGCUGGCUAGAGUGUGUCAGAGGAUGGUGGAAUUCCCGGUGUAGCGGUGAAAUGCGUAGAGAUCGGGAGGAACAUCAGUGGCGAAGGCGGCCAUCUGGGACAACACUGACGCUGAAGCACGAAAGCGUGGGGAGCAAACAGG
rnacentral:rRNA from 1 species